rnacentral:rRNA from 1 species
CUUGGUCAUUUAGAGGAAGUAAAAGUCGUAACAAGGUUUUCCUUCCGGUUAAAGCUAUUAACCUAUUGAAGCCUGACGUGGGCGACUAAAAAUAACCAUGGAGUUCGGUCUUUAACGGACUGGACAACACCGCUGAAAUGCUGUGAUCAACUAUUGUUGUACCAGCAGCCCUCUUAUAGGGCCCACAGAUCAAGCCGCGGUGAUCCUACCUAGAGUAUUUGAGUAGGACUAUAAUAUGACCGGUCUCACCUGAGAUGGUUGAGAGAACACGUUCCGUAGGUGAACCUGCGGAAGGAUCAUUACCGAGUUAGGGUCUUAUAGGCCCGACCUCCAACCCUUUGUUUACUACACCAUGUUGCUUUGGCGGGCCCGCCUUUUGGGGCCGCCGGGGGUUUACAAACCCCUGGUCAGUGUCUGCCAGUAGCCUUAUUAAAUUCUUUUAUAAUUAUGUUGUCUGAGUAUAAAUAUAAAUCGUUAAAACUUUCAACAACGGAUCUCUUGGUUCUGGCAUCGAUGAAGAACGCAGCGAAAUGCGAUAAGUAAUGCGAAUUGCAGAAUUCAGUGAGUCAUCGAAUCUUUGAACGCAUAUUGCGCCCUUUGGUAUUCCGAAGGGCAUGCCUGUUCGAGCGUCAUUAUCAGCCAUCAAGCCUGGCUUGUCGUUGGACCCUUUUUACCGCUGAAAUAUGUGGUAGGUCCGAAAGAUAAUGACGGCGUCGUGUUUGACCCUAGAUGCAACGAGCUUUUUAUAGCACGCAUUGAAGUGGUCGACCGACCCGGUCUUUAACCAUCAUUUUCUAAGGUUGACCUCGGAUCAGGUAGGAAUACCCGCUGAACUUAAGCAUAUCAAUAAGCGGAGGA